CGGGGUGAGUAAUGUCUGGGAAACUGCCCGAUGGAGGGGGAUGACUACUGGAAACGGUAGCUAAUACCGCAUAACGUCGCAAGACCAAAGAGGGGGACCUUAGGGCCUCUUGCCAUCGGAUGUGCCCAGAUGGGAUUAGCUAGUAGGUGGGGUAAUGGCUCACCUAGGCGACGAUCCCUAGCUGGUCUGAGAGGAUGACCAGCCACACUGGAACUGAGACACGGUCCAG
rnacentral:rRNA from 1 species